GCAGGAAAUUUUGUUGACAGACCACCUCACUUCAUCCUCUUAUAACCUUAGGUCUGCAGUGCUAAUAGGAAUAAAGGCAUGAUGAGAAGAAACACGGAAUAUGAUAAAACUUCAGGAGAAUAAUGAAAUACCUUUGAACUGAAGAUUCCAAGAGUAAGGAACUCAGUUGUCCUGAUUUAAAGCAGACUAAGGAAAAACCAACUGAGGGCAAAACUAUCACUGAAGCGAUGACUGAUUCAAUGGGCCAUAGUCACUGAAUGGAGUACUCUAGGGUGUCAAUGUCCAGGUGCUACAAAGCAUGUCCCUUUUGAUGAAUGCUCAGAUCUCAGUCUCUCAUGACCUGGAUAAGAAUGAAAAUGUGAAGGCUGGUCCCAGGAGACUGUCUAACCACAAACAUGCUGGCAAUGGAGUCGUUUUGCAAUCAAAUGGUUCAUACCAUCCUUGUCAUGGAACAGCCACAGAACACAACAGGAUUGUCUGUCUCUCCGUCUGAACACUCUUUCCAGCCUGCAUUAUCCUUGCCACUGCAUCAUUCAGAGCUAGAACCA